rnacentral:lncRNA from 1 species
UCUCUCUCUGCUCCAACCUCCCUCGUAACUCGGCUAACUCCAUCUGUGUUCGGUGAGCAGCGUCCUUGUACUGCUGUUCCGAAAUCUGGAGAGUACGAUUUUGUGCCUCCGCUUGCUCAGCUCUAACCUUUAAGUCAUCGUUCCUAACUAACAAAUCUCUUAUCAUCUCACUGUCUGUGUACUCCUCGCUAGAGUCCAUCGUCUCUUGGGUCAAGGAAUUACU